rnacentral:rRNA from 1 species
AUGAACUGUUUUCAGAUCCCCGUUAAUAUUUGUGACAAACUAAGAAGGCCAAUCUCAAAUUUUUGGUGGGGUGUGGAGGAUGGCAGGAAGAAGUUACAUUGGAGAUCUUGGGAGUGGUUGUCCUCUCCGAAAUAUCUUGGGGGAAUGGGCUUCCGAGACAUGCACUUAUUUAAUCAAGCCAUGCUUGCUAAGCAAUGUUGGCGACUGUUAUUGGAGCCCCUCUCUCUAUGUCACCGUGUAAUGAAAGGGAGAUAUUUUCCUGAUGGAGACUUUUGGAACUCAAAAUGUCCAAGAGCAGCAUCUUACACAUGGAGAAGCAUUAUGUAUGGGAAGGAGCUCCUGCGGAGAGGAUUGUUAUGGAGAGUUGGAGACGGAAAACAAAUUUCUAUCAUCCGGGAUAAUUGGAUACCAGACACCAUACAUGGGACAAUGCAAACAUUAAUUCCAGUGGAAGAUAACCAAACAGUGAGCUCUCUAAUCUCUAGUAACGGCUCCACUUGGAAAGAAGAUACUGUUAGAGAACUCUUUGAUCGUGACAUUGCAGAAAGAAUUCUUAAAAUUCCCCUAAGCUCUGAAGGGUGCAGCGACUUUGCUUCCUGGCCAUAUACCAAAAAUGGAAUUUAUACAGUGAGGUCGGGCUACAAUCUAGUAAGAACAAAUUAG